AUUGAACGCUGGCGGCAGGCCUAACACAUGCAAGUCGAACGAGUGGCGGACGGGUGAGUAAUGUCUGGGAAACUGCCUGAUGGAGGGGGCUAACUACUGGAAACGGUAGCUAAUACCGCAUACCAUCGGAUGUGCCCAGAUGGGAUUAGCUAGUCGGUGGGGUAAAGGCUCACCUAGGCGACGAUCCCUAGCUGGUCUGCGAGGAUGACCAGCAACACGGGAACUGAGAAACGGUCCAGACUCCGACGGGAGGCAGAAGUGGGGAAUAUUGCACAAUGGGCGCAAGCCUGAUGCAGCCAGGCCGGGGGUAGGAAGAAGGCCUUCGGGUUGUAAAGUACGUUCAGCGGGGAGGCGUUACCCGCAGAAGAAGCACCGGCUAACUCCGUGCCAGCCGCCGCGGUAAUAC
rnacentral:rRNA from 1 species